AACGAACGCUGGCGGCAUGCCUAACACAUGCAAGUCGAACGAGACCUUCGUGCUUAGUGGCGAACGGGUGCGUAACGCGUGGGAACAUGCCCUUAGGUUCGGAAUAACUCCCCGAAAGGGGUGCUAAUACCGGAUAAUGUCUUCGGACCAAAGAUUUAUCGCCUUUGGAUGGGGCCGCGUUGGAUUAGCUAGUUGGUAGGGUAAAAGCCUACCAAGGCGACGAUCCAUAGCUGGUCUGAGAGGAUGAUCAGCCACACUGGGACUGAGACACGGCCCAGACUCCUACGGGAGGCAGCAGUUGGGAAUAUUGGACAAUGGGCGAGAGGCUGAUCCAGCGAUGCCGCGUGAGUGAUGAAGGCCUUAUGGUUGUAAAGCUCUUUUACCCGGGAUGAUAAUGACAGUACCGGGAGAAUAAGCUCCGGCUAACUCCGUG
rnacentral:rRNA from 1 species